rnacentral:lncRNA from 1 species
CCGGUCAGCUCUCAGCGCGGGAGGGCGCCCCCCACCCUGUGCGGGCGAUCCCGCGGCGCCGCCCCCGGCCGCGGCCCCUUGCCUCCGGGACCGCGAUGGGGGGAGGGGGCGCGGCGGCGGCGGGGGGGGUGUGUGUGCUGCGGGGGCCUUGCCGCCCGCGCACUCGGAGGCAAACCGGCUCCGCCGCGACCAAGAAACAACCGGCGUCCUCCCGCCCUCCGCGGCCCGGGACGCCCGCGCCGCCGCCGCCCGGCCGAGCUGCCACCCUGUGGCCGCCACCCACCCCGCCCCCGGCCUGCGAAGCGGGCGGCCCCCGGGGGCUGUCACCUCGAGGCGCUCCGCGCUCCCCGAUGGCGGGACCGUGGCGCUGGACCUGAGGGAAAGAGGCGGCGCGAGCGAGCGAGCGGCCGCACCUGCUUCGCGUCGUCCGUCCGUCCGUCCCUUCCCGGGCUGGCGGGGGCGGCGGCGCGGCGCGCUCGGUGGGGCGCGCUGACGGGCGGCCGGUCCUCUCUCCUUCACUCGUCUGCCUCCCUCGCUCGCUCCCUCCCGCCCGCUCGCCCCUUCCCCUCCUCCUCGACCGCGGCCCCUAGCUCACCGGGAGGGCGGCGCGGACGGCGCGGCUCUGGGAGCCCGCAGGCCCUGGCCGGGCUGGAAUCCGGCGGCUGGAACCCCCCGGGGGCGCUCAAUUCCCGGGCUCCACGCUGCUGCGUCAGCGCCUCCUCCUGGGGGCCGGGGCCGGGCGGGCGGAGCGGGGGCCGCGGUCGGGCGGGGCCGUCGGGGGGGCGGGCGCGCCUGGCCCAGGCGGGCGGACGGCGGGAGCCGGACGGGCGGGGCAGGCAGCCGGACGGGCGGGCGGCGGGGGCCGGGCUCCGGGAUCCGCUACGCCGCUCGCGGUUCCCCCACAAACUCCCCGAGAGCGGAGCCUCCGCCGCCCUCCUUCCUGCUUCCUCGUCCCUAGCCAAUCAGCGGCGCGCCCCUCGGCCAGCUCCGCCAAUCAGCCGCCCCGCCCUGCGCUGGCCCCGCCAGCCAAUCCGGCCCUCGGCUCCCCCUCCCGGUCUCCGACCAAUCAGAACCGUGGGUCGGUCGUCCCAACGCAGGGGGCAGCACGAGGCGGCCGGGGGAGGCGGUGCGGGGAGUGGUGGGGCCUGGGGGGAGGGGUACGGUGCCAAGGGUGGUGGAGUGGGGGGUGGGUUUCUUUGCCGGCUUCUCGGAUUUUCUCUUCGUCUCCAGAGCCGGAGCCCGUAUCCCAUGGUGACCCGACCCUAG